rnacentral:siRNA from 1 species
UAUCGCUGCCAUCUUUGUCAUGGU